rnacentral:rRNA from 1 species
UACAGAGGGUGCGAGCGUUUAAUCGGAAUUACUGGGCGUAAAGCGCGCGUAGGCGGCUUGCCAAGUAGGGUGUGAAAGCCCCCGGCUUAACCGGGGAAUUGCGCCCUAAACUGGCGAGCUGGAGUGAGAUAGGGGUGUGUGGAACUUCCGGUGGAGCGGUGAAAUGUGUUGAUAUCGGAAGGAACGCCGGUGGCGAAAGCGACACACUGGGUCUCAACUGACGCUGAGGCACGAAAGCCAGGGGAGCGAAGCGGG